rnacentral:lncRNA from 1 species
AUGCACCGCGCUUCCCGGACUCGGAUGAGCCGGGAUGUCCAUCAGCCUCGGCAGGACCCUGCCAGCACCCGCACGGCCCGUUACCACCGCGGGACUCCCUUGCGUUUUGUUGGUGUCUUGGCCGCUCCUGCUCGUUUGCUCAAUGCCUGCCUGUCUGCUUGUCACCUUGGCCUCCCUCCGCUUGUCCCCUUCUUCCUCGAGCCUUAUUCCCGUCUCCGUCCUUCCUGUGCAUGUGGCCUGCUCCCCUGCCUCUGCCAGCAUCCCCCAGGGUUAGGAGGUGCGGUGUCCCAAGGAAGGGCCGGGAAAGGGGCCUUGGCAAGUGGGACUGAGGACGGGCCACGCAGGAGUGAAGAUGGAGACGGAGGUGGGGGGACCCGGCCCCGAGGGGCGCGGGCAGCCCACACCCGCCCUUGGACUCCUGGCCCCCACCUGUGAGAGCACGGGCUUCUGUGGUUUCAGGCGCCAGUUGUGUUUGUCGCAAGAGCCCCAGGAAGUGAAAACUGCCCCCUUUCCUGCAAGAAGAGGAGGGGCCACCAGGUGGUCCCUGGCCAUCUCCUCACAGGUCCUACAGCCGCCUUCGCGGCUGCCUUUGCAACCACAGCCCGGCAUCUGGCGCUGUGGGAAAACUGUGGCUUCUCGAUCAGCCCCCAGUGAUGUCUGAAUCAUUUCAAAUCGCCUGCCCUUGCCAGCCAGGUGGCACUGAAUAACCCCAAAUAAAGUCUUUGUAAGACACAGGUGCACGUGCAGGGAAAUGCCUGGAGUCACCUAGGAUCACAGGUGAACUCACCUGAGGUUCUGCUCAGAGCUGCCAAGUUGCCCCUUGUGGGGUUGUUCCAUUUUGCACCCUGGGAGGGACUCGGGAAGGAGAUUGCCUUUGGCCCCUCGGCGUUUCUCUUCUUCCCUCUUGGUGUGUAGGUGUGACGGCCGGAGCCCCAGCAGCCUUCUUCUGACCAUAAGGGCUGACACGGAAGCUAAGAAUGGCCGAUGGAACCUGGGUCUCAGGGGACUUUGAGGAGCAGUGUGCCAGCCUAAAAUGGCCCCCCAGGAACUCACUUUAGGGGAGAAGAUAAAUCGCUACUAUAUAAAACCCACAGUACUAGCAGCCAAACCUAGAAGGCACGAGCUUGAGGAAUUUCUCUGGAGGAUGUCACCCGCAGCCCACAGCCUCGGAACCCUCAUGCUGCCCAUCGCUCAGCCCUCGAGAGGCAGGGCACCCCUCUCUGCUGGCUCAGUGCCCCCACCUGAGAGGACAGGUCGUGCAUGGUGCGCUGGGGAGACCAGCCAGCCCUGGGCGCCCUCUGGACACACACACACACACACACACACACACACACACACACACACACACACACACACACACACACACACACACGUGUCCUUUCUGUCCAGCACAGUGAGGGAGGAGCAGGCUCAGGGCAGCAACAGGAACGGCUCGAAGCACAGCCUGAGUGGAGCAGGAAGAUGAUGUUUUGGCUGCCACUCUCUGUGCCCGUGUCCCGUUUCCCAGUUAGCCUCCAGCUCAGAAGCCAGAGGCCCCCAUACUUAACCCUGGGCCCCGGGAGGCAGGCUGUUUCCCCUCCAGAGCGAGGGGCCCCCUCCGCCCUGCACCCUGAGGCUGCCCCAAGGCCACACGGAUCUGGACGCUUGUCUCCUGUGCCCCCCGGAAGCAAUGUGGGGCCCUGGUCGUAAGCAACAGAAACCUGAGCCAAAGGAUGAUUUGGGAAGGAUCAUGAGGCCACGGGCGGCGCAGGCUGGGGACCGAGCCUGGGGAGAUGGGCCUGGCGGGGCG